rnacentral:rRNA from 1 species
CAAUAGCGUAUAUUAAAGUUGUUGAAGUUAAAAAGCUCGUAGUUGGAUUUCUGGUGGGAGCGAUCGGUCUGGCGCUUAGCGCGAGUACUUGCAUCGUCUCCGGCCAUCCUUGGGGAGAGUCUGUCUGGCAUUAGGUUGUCGGGCAGAGGAUCCUCAUCGUUUACUGUGAAAAAAUUAGAGUGUUCAAAGCAGGCUUAUGCCGUUGAAUAUAUUAGCAUGGAAUAAUAAGAUAGGACUUUGGUACUAUUUUGUUGGUUUGCGCACCAAAGUAAUGAUUAAUAGGGACAGUUGGGGGUAUUCGUAUUCCGUUGUCAGAGGUGAAAUUCUUGGAUUUACGGAAGACGAACUACUGCGAAAGCAUUUACCAAGGAUGUUUUCAUUAA